rnacentral:rRNA from 1 species
UACGUAGGGAGCAAGCGUUGUCCGGAAUCAUUGGGCGUAAAGCGCGUGUAGGCGGCCCGGUAAGUCCGCUGUGAAAGUCGGGGGCUCAACCCUCGAAAGCCGGUGGAUACUGUCGGGCUCGAGUGCGGAAGAGGCGAGUGGAAUUCCUGGUGUAGCGGUGAAAUGCGCAGAUAUCAGGAGGAACACCGGUGGCGAAGGCGGAUCUCUGGGCCAUUACUGACGCUGAGGAGCGAAAGCGUAGGGAGCGAACAGG